rnacentral:misc_RNA from 1 species
UUGAAAACAAAUGGGAUGUGCUGGCCUUCAAAACAGGCAUGUGCACUCCUUAUCAUCUUAACUAUCCACCUGUGCACACUUUGUAGACAUUGUCUUGGGACUCACCCUCCCAUCUUUGCCUACGCAUUUUUUAACUCCUUGCAAUACAUUCUUGCAUGUAGAAAUUUGUAAUAUGAAA